ensembl:lncRNA novel transcript
AGCAGUGCCUUAGCCAGGGACCUGCUUGGCCAGCGACAGAUCCUUUGCUGCUCUGUCUGCCGGUUCUUGAGAUGGAGUCUCUCACUCUGUUGCCCAGGCUGGAGUGUUGUUGAUGGCAACAGUGGGCCAUCUGGACCAUCUGGAGUGGCCACUGCCAAGAUGCUGGCUGCAGCCAGGAGGCUCUGCCCAUGCUGUGAGCUUCACAGAGCCAGAGGGAGCGGGGACAAGCAGGAGCCCAGCUCCUUCCAAGUUGGCGGGUGGGAGCUCCCCAGGCAUAGCUGCAGCUGCCCAAGUCAUGGCUGCUGGCUGAGCCUCCCUGUGUUCUUGGAGACCAGGAGCAGGCAGGAGCCCUGCUCUCCUGGGUGCAACUGCAGCCACCCAAGUCCUUGCUACAGACCGUGUUCUUGGAGGCUGGGAGCAGGCAGGAGUGCCAAAGCAGGCAGGAGUGCUGGAGCAGGCAUGAGCCCUUCCUGCAUCCCCCACCUCCUUUGUGCAGCUGUAGCCACCCAGGUUGUGGCUGCGGACCAACCUGGAUAUCUCUGCACUCUAGGGGCCUGGGAAGGCACCCCCACCUCAGCAGGCUUGGAGGUAUCUGCUUCUGCUGCCUGGCCUCUCCCUGCUCCUGGUGACUGCUCUGAUCUAGGAGCAAGGUUGGGGCCGAGCCAGGGUGCUGUUGCAGCCCAGCCAGUUGUGCGCAUACUUGAGGCAGUGCUGACAGGCCAUUCCUCUGCUGCUUCAGCCCCCUCCAGACUUUGGGUGCUGACAAACAUAGAAGGGAGGCUGAGGGAAGGCUGAAGGCAGUUCAGCAUUUGCCUGCAGGUGCUUGUCCCCACGAACAGCCUGGGCACCAUAGAAAGCAGUAGGAGGCGACAUGCUCUGAGGCAGAAAGGGGCGGGUCCCCAGAAGGCCUGAAGCCUAAUGGCCAGGCCACCAGUCCCCCUGACUGGAGGGGGAACUGGUGGUGCUUUUUCUUGGACCUGCCCAUGGCCACCAAUGGACCAAUCAGCAUGCACUUCUUCCUCUCUGAGGCCCAUAAAAUUCCCUGGACUCAGCCAGACUGGGGGAGAAGACCUGCCAGCAGAGAGGAGCUACCUACUCCAGGGCCUCUUUUCUGCUGAGAGCUGCAGAGACAACAGGAGGACCAACCUGCAGAGAGGAGCUACCCACUUCAGGGCCUCCUCUUUGCUGACAGCUGCAGCGAUGAUGGGACAAGCUGCCUGCAGAGAGGAGCUACCCACUCCAGGGUCUCCUCUGAGCUAUUCUGUUGCUCAGUAAAGCUCCUCCUUCUCAGUAAAGCUCCUCUUCACUUUGCUCAGCCUCCACUUGUCUACAUACCUCAUUCUAUCUGGAUGCAGGACAAGAACUUGAGACCUGCUGAAUGGUGGGGCUGAAAGAGCUGUAACACAAACAGAGCUGAAACAUGCCCCUUGCUCACCACAUUGCAGGCAAAGAGGAGAGAAGAGCUGUGGCCCUUCAGGAAGCCCAGACCAGGAAGCUCCCUGAGCCAGGAUUGUGACUCCCGUUGGGGCCCUGCAUUUCCUGGAGUCUCCAAGCUUCUGGGCACCACUGUGGUGUACUUAGUCCAGUCACAGCCUUGCAGUGAGCCAGGGCCCGUACUGGCACCUGGAGCUGCCCACCCUGCUGCAGCAGCCAGCGUGCCUGACUGUGUGCAGUGGCCAGACCCCACACUCUUUCGCUCACACAUCCCUUGCUACUUCACGCCUGGCUCACCCUUGGCAGGGGCGAGAUACAGGCUGGUAGCAUUAGCCAAGCACAGCCUGCCAGGCUGAGUGGGCAGAACGAUCCCAGUGGGCCCAAGCAAAACUCAGGCAAAGGCACCACUGGCCACAGAGGUUUCUGACUAGAAAAGCAACACCCCAAGUAUCCUGUGACACAGUGGCAUGAUCUCAUCUCAUUGCAACCUCCACCUCCUGGGUUCAAGCUAUUCUUGUGCCUCAGCUUCUGGUGUAGCUGGGGCUACAGGUGCGUGCCACCACAUCUAUCUAAUUUUUGUAUUUUUUUUUUUUUAGUAGAGACGGGGUCUCACCAUGUUGACCAGGCUGGUCUCAAACUCCUGACUUCAGGUGAUCCGCCUGCCUCAGCCUUCCAAAGUGCUGGGAUUUCAGGUGUGGCCUACCAUGCCCAGCCUGUUAUGCCUCUUGAUUGACUCCUUUUUCAUAAUGAAAUGACCUUCUUUAUCCCUGAUAUAUCAGUCAGUGUUCAACCAGAGACACAAAACAAGUAAUUGAAUAUAUGUAUAUGUACAUAUGGAUUUGUUAAAGAGAAUUGGCUUACACAAUUAUGAGAGCUAGUUAGGCACUCUUAUAAUGCUGUUGUGUCUGAUGCUAGAAUUUGAUGUUGGCAGAGUAGUCAGAAAGGAAGAUGGAAGUAAAGUGGGAGAAGUCAAGGUCAGGCUGGAAGUCACAAGUACAAACUUGAACCUCAUGAAAAUGGACUGAAAUCCAUGUUAGUUCUUGUUGCCUUUGACCUUGGUGGUGAGGGUAUCCUUCAGAAGCUGGGGCUGUUUGUCAUAAACACACAUACAUAGGCCAGGAGUUGGAGAAGCUGAAGGAGGAUCUAGAGGAUGGUAGAGUAGUUGCAGGCCAAGCUGCUACAAAAUGAGUCAACAAAGUGAGUCACCAGUCAGCAACAACAUAUGUGAACUACAAAUGGCUACUAUUUCCUUUCCACAUUACACAUCUCCCAAAAAUUGCCUUUUUGGCCCGCCCAAACUGUAAACAUAAAAUAAAUAAUUCUAGGAAAACUGGUGCACUUUAAGCAAGAUGACACAUUAUAAAAGCAUCAUGGUCUGCCCCUUGUCAACUUAGUACCAUACAUGUUUCUUUAAGCCAUACUUUAAUUCUCCAAAUUAUGAUAACAAUGAAGUUGUGCUUUCACCUUACAUAACACUACUAUCACAUAACUAUUAACAUGCUAACCAUUUCCCAAAAGAGGAAAAUAGUCUUUUUGUUGGUCCAUGAAUGGCAUUCAUUCUGCUCCCAGAUGAUAACCCUCCUUCUUUCAUAUCCUAUAACUUAAAUACUGACAUAUAAAGUUAACUAUUAACACAUAUUGUGUUAGAUGAUAAGAUGAGAGAAGGAAGAAACAUAAAUUUUCAAGUAGUUUCCAAAAGAAGCUGGGUGUAUAUCAUUGCCCACCAGAAUGUUCUUCUUGAAUUCAACUAGACUUUUAGACCUUCAAGACUACUGCAGAUCACCCUUGGCAUCAGAUUAACUUAGAAGGAUAGGACAGAAGCCACAGCUGACCAGUAGGCAGCACCUACCCCUCUUCGGUGGUAGUGGUACUCACAGUAUUUUACACAAGCAUGCAGGGUUUUUUUUUUUUUUUGGCCUUCCCAUUCCAAGUUGACAGCUCAGAUGCAAGGAGAUGAGACUUACAUUGGGAACCUGUGGGAUGCAUCUGGAUUAGAAACUUCCACAGGAGCUAAUAUGUCUUAUAGCAACUCCAUGGACAUAGCUUCUAGAAUUUCUGUAAGAGACAUGCCAAUUACAAGAGUCACUAUACUCAGGGAGGCCCAAAGUUAUAGUAUCCAUUAGCAUAGUCAAUAUUUAUAGUUCAUUUAUAAUUCUUUUGGUAAUCAGGAAACAUUUUUACCAUAAACAAUAUUGUUGGGUAACAUAAUUGACCUAUUAAUAAGUUUUCAAUAAAACAGAAUGAGAAAAUUAACCAAAGGUUAAUUCUCAUGUACAAAGGUAAAGUGUUUUGUUAACCUUUUACCCAAAAGUGAUGAUAUGAAUGUAGAUUUUUUUGGGUGUUUGACCAAGGAAGCCAAACCAUUCUUUCAGAUUAUGUUAGAUUUGUAGCUUUGUGGAGUGUUGCCAGAGAUGUUGCUUUCUGUGUGUGAGUUUGAUGAGCUAACCUGGAGUUUGUUUGUUGGACUGGCCAAAACAAAUCUGAGCCAACUAUGGUCCAUAUCAGCUGACACUGAAGAAGUUCCUCUCAAUGAAGUAAAUGGAAUUGAAGGGUUUCCAGAGAGAUUAGCAGUGAUAAUACAGGCAUGGGAAGUGAUAUAAAAUUCUCAAGAAUGAAACUGAUAGGCCACCACCAAUAUUCUACCUGAAUUCUAUUUCUCAUUUCACUUGGGGGAAACUAGGUCAAACUAACAUGUGUACUAAUAUAUGUCUAACUUAGGCAUACGCUCUAGAGCAGUGAUUCUCAAUCUUUUUGAGAUAGUAAAUUUAUUUGAGAAAAGGAUGAAAACUGCAGACUUCUUCCUCAGAUAAAUGAACAUAAAGACCUACAUGUGGACUUUUGCUUAUCAUGUAUUGUAUUGGAAAUUAAUUUUCUUUGAUACUUAGACUGUGUAAACAAUUUUCACAAGGAAGGGAUUUCAAUUUAAAAAUCAAUUUCCAGUUCUGGGG